rnacentral:ncRNA from 1 species
UCUGAAAAGUGGCAAACCCGACUGAAAAGCGGGGACGCAAAGUCACAGGUCUACGGGGAUUCACCACGAUGGCUGGGCUGCUCUG